rnacentral:lncRNA from 1 species
UCUAGAAGAUCGGUCUGAACCCCUGAGGUUGGUUUCUCUUUUUUCUAUUUCCUGUUGGUGUCCUUUGCUUUCAUGUUGCGUGUUUUUUUUUGUUUGGCUUCCUUUUACUUAUAACAUAAUCAAGAUGCCUGUGACAGCAGGGGUGAAGAAAAUGACAUCAAAAUUCAACUCUUUUUAAGCGAGCUUUUAUGCACAAUGGAUCUCUCACAGUUUUAAAAAAUCAGAACUAAUCCAAAUACUUUUUAAUAAUAAAUAGAAUAUUAGUUUUAUUUACAUAUAAUUAAUUAUAUAUAUAAUAGAAGGCAAACCAAGAGAGAACUAGAGUGGAGGGUAUUCAUAGGUAAAGUUAGGAAUGGAAAUUUUCAUUAACGUAUGGAAUAGUAUUUGAUCUUUCGAGAGUUUUUUUUGAUGCAGUAUUCUGGUUUUUUGAAGAACCAUAACCUGCCACGAGGCCAAUAUUUUGGAUGCAGUAUUCAGGCUUCGUGGAAGUUUGAGUGUUCCUGAUUAUCAGGGUUUUUUAUAAAAAUAAUAUAAAAAAAAUAAAAAAUUAUCAAAAUGUUAUAAUUUUUUUUAUUUAUCAAUAUAUAUAUAAAUUUUUUUAUUUAUCAAAAUAUAUCAAAAAAAACCUGAACUGAUUUGACAACUCCCUGAGUGGAGGGAAGCAGGUUGGCGGCACCAAACAAGGGAACCCUGUUGGCGGCACCACCCUUGAAUUUAAGGGUGGUCGGUUGGUGGGGGGAAGAAGGAGAGGGAAAGAAGAAGAAAGAAAGGAAGAAAGAAAAAGAAGGAAAAGGAAAGGAGAGGAAAGAAAGAAAAAGAAGGAAAGAAAAGGAAAGGAGAGGAAAGAAAGAAAAAUAAGGAAAGAAAAGGAAAGUAGAAGAGAAAAAAAAAGAAAGAAGAAGAAGA